AACCAGCAUGGGUUUGGCAGUCCACCAGUUAACAGUCUCAGUGUUCGAAACAGAGCGUCUCUUGCUGGCAGCAAAAGAGAAGAAAAAUUAAGAACCCAAAGGAGACUGCUCAUCACAGCUGCAUAUUGAAUAGCUGAGAACCGUAAUGAGUGUGAACCUUCUUCUUGAACUCAUUAGCAAAGCUUCACAAGCUUCAGUGGAACUGCACAGGUGUGCAACAGUGCAGCAUGACUUGAGAUGGCCACAAGUACAAGCCCUGGCAUUGCAUAUAAUCAGGACGGUGCAGAGAAGUCCUCCCAAAAAGGGCAUGAUGAGGGCCCUUCAACAUCUUGUGCCUUAGUCCACAAAGCCUACAUGGUUCUGAGAGAAGGUGGUUACUCUCUGCCCUCAUGUGAAAGCACUUGAGCCAUGAGGGGUCAAUUAAUUGAGGCAGUGCUGUGAACAGGGAAUAUGUUCUUCACCCAGAUGGAUUUUUUUUACCUACCUGAGCUCUGAGGUCAGACCUACUGAAGGAAGACGGAAUUGAAGCUGUCUUUGCAGUCUGAAUAGGGAACUGCAUGAACAGAAGAAAAGUGGCUGCCAUGGAACAGACCAAAAGUCCACCUGUGCCAAAGUCCUGACUGUGGUAGCUGCUAACAGUAUGUGGUGAGCGAAGAGUAGGAGAAUUGGCAAGUACAUGUGAUACACUCCCUGAGUACUGCCUCCCUUCUGCCAUGUAGUUGCAGUUCAGAAGCAUACAGGUUUUGUGGGUUUAGUAUCUUCCCUCAGCUUUCUCUUCUGUGAAAUUUCAGUCUCUCCAUAAACCUAUGUAAACUUUAUUACCCACAGCAACCUUUAACAACAAGUUUCAGUAAGUCAGCUGCUACUCCUGACUUCGUCCAGCUGUGCUUUCCUUGCACCCUAAAACUUCAUAUAGUGAGAAGCACCAUUACAGGGAGUGGUAAAGUGUACAGAUACUGAAGUCAGCUGUGGUUUUUGGGACAGGGAGGGUAUGUCAAGAGCUAACUGAUAUUUGUUUGCUUUGACAGUUUGCAGCACUGGGAGUUGUCACUCAAGUGUUUUGUUUGGGUUUUUUUCAGGUAAUGCAAGGAUCUAUAUAGCAAAGAUAACUUCUCCCUUCCAUCCCCCCCACUGAUAAGAACUACUGAACAUAAAAUUUGGCAGCAUAAAUUUUUAACAAAUACAGACCAAAGGGGAAGGCCCUGAGGGGAGACCUAGUGGGAGGGAGGGAUAUUGUUUCAUGUAGCAGAUGAGAAGAUUCAUUUAGUUAUUCCAAGAAUUCCUGCAGUAGUCUCUCUCCACCACACAAACUUCAUAGUAUGAAGUGUUUUCUCAUGAACUGUUCAAUCCUUAGUCAGUGCAGCUGACCAUAUAUGUUAGGUUUAAAAAGGAGAAUGAAUAGAUCAGAUUCCAGAUUUAGUCUUUUGAAGAGGACCCCAUGGCUGUUAGGUGGUUGUUCGGAUUAUUUUGGAUGUAAUGAGUGAUGGUUUUAGAAUCCCAGAGCUCAGCAGUACUACUGCUGUUCCUUUCUAUCCCUACUACACUGUCUGAAAUGGCUAUUUAGGACAUCCCUCUCACAGCUAGUGAUGGAGCUAAAACCCCAAAACUGCAUCAGACAGGGUGUCAUGGGGUAGGUCAGCCAAGGAGAACAAUGACACUGAAUGCAAGAGAAACAGUAUUAACUUCUUUUAUAGGAAAAAUAUUUUAAGAUUUCCCAAAAAAGCUUGUUGAGCCUCUUCCAAUUUCAAACAAAACAUUUUAUUCCCAUGCUUUGCAUUAUUUCUGAAGUAUUCUAGAGAACAUAUAUACUAAAUGCCAGAAAUAAUACAACUUGCUCACACAGAUUUAAAAUAUCAAGUAUUACAUAAAGGUGUGCACAAACCCAAAAAUGUCUCAAGGGAUUGAUCAGAGCAGAAAUGGAAGAGAAUAUCUAUAGGAUACAAACAUUUACAAUAAAAGAUCUGGCAAAUAUUUAAAUUCUAUUUGCCUGGACCUUUCCAAGAGCUUCUAAAAUAUUUUUUACCAAGUUAAACACAAGAAGGAAUAUGCAAGACAAACUGGAAAUAUCAAACUUCAUUGAUAAAGGCAGUAUCUCGGAAUUCUUUUAACAGGCAUAAUGUAUAUGCAAUGAUGAGAGACAGAAAAGUUGAAUAACGUGUAAAUAUAUCCAUCAUCCAUUAGUAACAGCAAACAGCUGUAUUAAUUUACAAGAACCUGUACCAGUCCAACAUACCACAUCUUUCCAAUGUCCUACUAGUUUCUGUGAAAUAAAUAUUCUGGAAAGAUCCAUGUUACUUUGUUGUGGUUGGACACUGGCCCAGUGCCAGGCACCCAGGAGAGCCGCUCGCUCACCCUCCCCUGCCACAGCUGGGCAGGGGAGGGAAAAGGAAAAAAAAAUUAACAAACACUUCAUGAGUGAGAUAAGGACUGGGAGAAACACUUCAAGGGCAAAACAGGCUUAACUUAAGCUGUAAAAUGAAUUUGUUACUAACAGAAUCAGAGGAGGAUAAUGAGAAGUAAAAUAAGCCCUUAGAACACCUUUUCCUCCCAGCCCCUCCCUCCUUCCCACCGACAGCACAGGAGACAGGGCCUGGGGGUUUGGUCAGUCCAUCACCGGGAUUUCCUUCCGCUGCUCCAGGAGAGGAGUCUUCCCCUGUGAGGCCGUGGGUCCCUCCCAUGGGAGACAGUUCUCCUGAACUUCCCUGGUGUGGGUCCUCUCUCACGAGCAGCGGCCGCACCGCCCCUGCUGCAGCGUGAGCCCCUCCCACGGGCCCACAGCCCUCCCAAACUGCUGCGCCGGGGCUCUCUCCUUCCUCGGGGUGCAGUGCUCCAAGGACAGGCUGCUCCAGCCUGGCAGCAGGGCCCUCUCGCUCCAGCGGGUCUCCCAC